UGAUAUAAUUUUUUUUUUCCCUUUUCCAGAAAAACCCACCAAAAAACACCCAUAAGCAUAAAUCUUGAAAUACUCUUUUAAUUCAACAAUUAAUAUCUAAAACAAGAGCUGAACAAUAGUUGCAUGUCGACUUACCCGUGGUGACUUCCGAUGGAGUUGACAACUGAGUUCGACAUGAUGAGCCAAAAAACGUUCGGGUCGAGCCAUCCCAGCCACCUCUUCACUGAUCAUUUGCUGCAUAUUGAAAGUGCUAUGGUGUUCAGUUUGAAGGAAAGAAGAGACGGAAUCACAGUGAGGUGGGAAACUGCUAUGGUGUUCAGUUUGAGGAAAGAAGAGACAGAAUCACAGUGGUGGUGCUGAUCAAAAUGUGCAUGUGCGGAGGGAUA
rnacentral:lncRNA from 1 species